UGUUUAGAUAUUUAUUUGGAAAACUUGUAGGUAAAUAUUGCGCCUGAUGACCCGUGUGAGACAACCCCACUGCUAGAAACCAGGACCAAAGCCAAGCUUUUAAAAGAGGACACCCUGGAGUUUACUGGUUACAAGAGACGAACCAAAGAGGAGUUACAGAAGCUCAUGUAUAGGUCUGAGAUGGAUGAGUGGAUGGUGGAGGCUGAGGAGGAGGAGAGACGAAAGGCGGAGGAAUUUCAACAGUCUGUGUUGACGAACCGAGUAGAGGAGAGGGAGCAGAGGAUUCAACUUGACGAUUCCGACAAUGAAUCAGAUCUGACCCUCACCCGACCAAUUAUACAUUAAAGGAUUGUUUACGAAAUUGUUUGUGACUUAAAAUUUUUAUUUCUAUCUGUUUUCCCUCAUGUUAAUCCAGAUUCAUCGACAUGGUUCCUGGUUUUUUUUUACUUUGAGUUUGGUCCUUUCCGAUAUAGAAGGACCUGAUCAUUUUUCUGUUAUCUGUGCAACCUUUGAUAUUUCAAAUUUCAAAUUCUGCAAGAAAAUUAUAAUUUUAAAUAUCAAAGAUUUACCCCAUUAGAAAAGCAGAAUUUGAAGUAGGGUUUCCAUGCGCAUUACUGUUUUAUUCAAAUUCUGGAAAGUUUGAUCAAAUUUUGUUAAAAAUUGCCUUAAUCAAUAUUACCAAAUAUAUUUUAAAGUUAAUUAUCAAAAAACUAGCCUUUGAGAAAAUGCACAGCUACAGAGUAGGUUUUGCGCAAUAACGCAUUGGAAAUCCUAGUUUGAAGCAUGUAAUAAGUUCCUUUCUAGAUUUAUCAAAUAGUGAAAACCUUUUUUGAAAAGUAUAUAGAAAAUAGAUGGUGUUAAUUUAAUUAGA